AUUGAACGCUGGCGGCAUGCCUUACACAUGCAAGUCGAACGGUAACAGGUCUUCGGAUGCUGACGAGUGGCGAACGGGUGAGUAAUACAUCGGAACGUGCCUAGUAGUGGGGGAUAACUACUCGAAAGAGUGGCUAAUACCGCAUGAGAUCUACGGAUGAAAGCAGGGGAUCGCAAGACCUUGUGCUACUAGAGCGGCCGAUGGCAGAUUAGGUAGUUGGUGGGAUAAAAGCUUACCAAGCCGACGAUCUGUAGCUGGUCUGAGAGGACGAUCAGCCCCAGUGGGACUGGGGCCCAGCCCAAACUCCUACGGGAGGAGGCAGUUGGGAAUUUUGGACAAUGGGCGCAAGCCAGGUCCAGCAAUGCCGCGUGCAGGAUGAAGGCCUACGGGUUGUAAACUGCUUUUGUACGGAACGAAAAGCCAUGGGUUAAUACCCUGGGGUCAUGACGGUACCGUAAGAAUAAGCACCGGCUAACUACGUGCCAGCAGCCGCCGUAACAC
rnacentral:rRNA from 1 species